GACGAACGCUGGCGGCGCGCUUAACACAUGCAAGUCGAACGGAAAGGCCUGCUUUCCCUUGUGGAUUGCGGGUACUCGAGUGGCGAACGGGUGAGUAACACGUGAGUGAUCUGCCCCCAACUUGGGUAUAAGCCUGGGAAACUGGGUCUAAUUCCCGAUAGGACUGCAGGGUGGUGCCUGUGGUGGAAAACGAUUUUCUAGUGGUUGGGGAUGAGCUCGCGGCCUAUCAGCUUGUUGGUGGGGUAAUGGCCUACCAAGGCGGCGACGGGUAGCCGGCGUGAGAGGGUGGACGGCGACAUUGGGACUGAGAUACGGCCCAGACUCCUACGGGAGGCAGCAGUGGGGAAUAUUGCACAAUGAGCGGAAGCCUGAUGCAGCGACGCCGCGUGGGGGAUGACGGCCUUCGGGUUGUAAACUCCUUUCGACCGCGAGGAAGCCACCUGGUUGGAAGGGUGGUGACGGUAGUGUUAGAAGAAGCACCGGCUAACUAUGUG
rnacentral:rRNA from 1 species